rnacentral:piRNA from 1 species
UACUAUGCAGCCAUAAAAAAAUGAUGAGUUC